CCCUCGGCUUUGCCCCCUUGCCUUCGCCUGCUCCCCAACUUUUCUCCCCCCGCCUGCUCCCAUCCGGGGGGCUUCUGCAGCUUCAGGGGAGAGGGAGCUUUGCAAACGCCUGAGCAUUUAUUUCUUACAAAAAAAAAAAAAAAUCUACACACAGCCAAUCCCAGCGGUGGAGCGAGGCGCACUGCACAUACAGCCCCGCUCUCCAAGGCUGCCCUAGUCGGCUCCGGGUCCCAUGGCGCGCCCCGAAUUCGUCCCCGGCUCCUGUGCCAGCGCCUUUGCGUGCCCCUGAGCUCGCGACGCGGGGUUGCUGGAGAGGAAAGAACCUGGGCCGAGCAUCUUUUGGUGUCUGGGCGUUUCCGCCUCGGUCCCUCGCCACCAAGUCGCGGAGGUCACCAGCGAAUCGACUCAGGCCACUGGAAAGAGGGGGCCUAAUAGCUGGGGCCCCAGCACUGCGGUGGCAUCCCAGGCCGCUCCUAGACAGGAAGAAGGGUGAGGAACAAAGGGGACCCUGAGACAGCCUAGUCUCUCGGCCCCGCGCGCAACCGUCCGUGGAAGAGAAGCAGCCUCAGUCGAGCCGACCUAACCUGGGCGCGAGCGGAACUUUACAGCCUCCGGAGAGACUGGGCUCCCGAAGGCUCCAGCUCUGGAGCCAGCUCCGGAUCCCCGCCUCCGAUAGUGCCUGCGCUUCUAUCACAGUGGCUUUCAGGACCUAAGGAGGCGGCUCAGGACCCUGGGAACGGCAAGAGUCCUGGUUUCCAAAUGUGCCAAGGGUGCCUGCGACGCUCAGCCUCCAGCGGGAAGUACCCCCCAGGCCUUUCGGCUGUGUUUGUGAUUUACUUUCGUCUUUCAGGACCCAGGAAAAUAUCUACGAAGAUACUAGGCACUGCCACGAAAUGUUUCCAUUAGCACCCUCAUCUUACUCCUGGAGGUGUAAGCCAGACCCUAAUAAUUCGGCCCAAGGAUCCCCAGCCUCCCAGCAGCUCCUGUGGCUGCGGGGAGUCCGGGCCCACUCGGCGGGUUCAGCGAGAACCCUCCGACUUGGGGCCCGGCUGCCUGGAGGAAAGGGACCUGGUGGGGAAGAUUCUCCAGAUUGGAUACUUAAAGCAAAUCAAAUAGCGAACUAAUGACACGAAAACUAUAUUUACACGAAAGAAAAAUCGACUCCGGUUAUAAAAGUGUAUGGAAUUUGACCUCGCCUCGGAGAAACACUACACAAAAGCUAUCUUUAAUAGACGCCUGUCAUUUAAGAGCGGCAGGGACGCUGUCCCUCAUGCACUCACAGAAAAACAGAGCCGUAAUUGUAGCUGCUGCUGCGGGCAGGAUUUAUUUCUCCAAUUGGCUAAAUGGCCUCCCCCCCUUCCCCGAAGGUGAUAUCUGUAUUUUCAAAUUUCAGAGCUGCCGGCACGACGGGCAGAACCGACCCCAACCUCGACACAAAAAUAAGAGGGGCUGCACAGCGGGGAAAUAAAGUUGUUGUAAAUAAAAUCCAAGUCACCAUCUCCCCCCCCCCCAUCCUCUGCAUCCUCGCCGGGCGCGCGAUCGGCAGCUGACGGCCUCACAAUUGGUACAUCCUAAUGGAACUGCGAGGGAAAUGCAAUAAUUUUGCCAUAAUGGGCUGUAACCUCAAUUCGACCCCGGCCCUUGCAGCCCUGGGUCGAAAGCGGAGCGAUGCGCCCUGCUUCCAGCGGGUGGCGCUCGAGUCCGACUGAACGGCGGCGGCGGGUGGCGGGCACGCGCCUGGGGCGCGCGCGCCACCCCUCUCGCCUCCACCCAACUCCCCCAUUAGUGCACGAGUUUACCUCUAGAGGUCAUCAGGCAGGAUUUACGACUGGACAACAAAAGCACGUGAUUCGAAGUCGUACCCCAUAUUUGGGUGCCUACGUAGGAGGGAACCAAGUACAUGUCCCAGUCAUUUCCAUAAUUCAUCAUAAAUUGUGCAAGGGUGCUAUAGACGCACAAACGACCGCGAGCCACAAAUCAAGCACACAUAUCAAAAAACAAAUGAGCUCUUAUUUUGUAAACUCAUUUUGCGGUCGCUAUCCAAAUGGCCCGGACUACCAGUUGCAUAAUUAUGGAGAUCAUAGUUCCGUGAGCGAGCAAUUCAGGGACUCGGCGAGCAUGCACUCCGGCAGGUACGGCUACGGCUACAAUGGCAUGGAUCUCAGCGUCGGCCGCUCAGGCUCCGGCCACUUUGGCUCCGGGGAGCGCGCCCGCAGCUACGCGGCUGGCGCCAGCGCGGCGCCUGCCGAGCCCAGGUACAGCCAGCCGGCCACGUCCACGCACUCGCCUCCGCCCGACCCGCUGCCCUGCUCCGCCGUGGCCCCCUCGCCCGGCAGCGACAGCCACCACGGCGGGAAAAACUCCCUGGGCAACUCCAGCGGCGCCUCGGCCAACGCCGGCAGCACCCACAUCAGCAGCAGAGAGGGGGUUGGCACGGCGUCCGGAGCUGAGGAGGACGCCCCCGCCAGCAGCGAGCAGGCGGGCGCGCAGAGCGAGCCGAGCCCGGCGCCGCCCGCCCAACCCCAGAUCUACCCCUGGAUGCGCAAGCUGCACAUAAGUCAUGACAACAUAGGCGGCCCGGAAGGCAAAAGGGCCCGGACGGCCUACACGCGCUACCAGACCCUGGAGCUGGAGAAGGAGUUCCACUUCAACCGCUACCUGACCCGCCGAAGAAGGAUUGAAAUAGCACAUGCUCUUUGCCUCUCUGAGAGACAAAUUAAAAUCUGGUUCCAAAACCGGAGAAUGAAGUGGAAAAAAGAUAAUAAGCUGAAAAGCAUGAGCAUGGCGGCGGCGGGAGGGGCCUUCCGCCCCUGAGUAUUUGAGCGUUUAAAGUACUGAGCAGUAUUAGCGGAUCCCGCGUAGUGUCAGUACUAAGGCUACGUGUGCCACCUGGUCAUUCAAAUUGUCAAUUUUAGGUCCAGAAGUGUCCAAACCACAAGUUCUCAAAACUCUCUGAAAAAUGGCUCCCUCCGAGUUAAGGUAAGCUCGCCUCCUGAGCGCUUUCAAGUUUAUUUGUACUCUGAAAACUUUCUUCCUCGAUCUCUCUCUCUCUCUCUCUCUCUCUGGUUUAAUAACUCUGAGGUUGCCUCUGAAUUCAAAAGGGCAGAGCCCACUUCUCCUCUGCCCACAUUAGCAGCGCCGGGAGCCAGCUCUGCGGAGGCACCCCGGUGAAAAGCGCCUGUGGCCGCCGCGUCCCCAGGCCUAACUUUAAUUGCUGCACAACCGCGAAUGUUAAUGACUUCCGCUGCUCUCGCCGGCGUGCAAAAGAUGAUUUUUGUGUGCGAAUGGGCCAGUGUGCAGAGCCUUGGCAAGGCCAAGCCCCCCAUUCCGGGGGCUGGCGGGGCUGGCUCGUCGGGGGGCAGCGGGGCCCUAGGGUGGGGGCUGGGAGACAGUGGGGCGCCGGCCACGGGCGCCGAGGGCCGCGCUGCGCUGAGGAGUGCUCAGAGUUUGAAAGAAAGGCCCAGGCAGGGCUGAGGCGGACUCUGGCGGGAUUCCUUACGGGGCUGUGGCAAUAUGUCUUCGCGGGCCAGGGUCAUUUGGCAGCCCUGAAUUGAGGCGGCUGCCUUCGGGGCCGAGUUUCACGCCGGCUCUUAGAGAGCCGGAGGGUGGCAGAGGCCGGCGAGGUGCGGGCCGCACCUCCAGGCUGGGCCCCUGGGUGGCCAGGCCGAGCCCAGGACUGUGGGGAGUGCGGGUCCCCACCUGGGGGGGGAGAGCUCACGACCCCCUCCCCGCCCCCGCCCCCCCAACCCGGGACCAGGCCCUGAACCUUGUUUGCCUGCACGUUCUUUUUAUUUUGGUGGGACUGUUCUCACCCGCCUGUGAGUCUGAAGCAAUAAACUUUAUGGCCGGAUUUAACUUUAGUCUUUGAAUCCCCAGGCUAAAUGAAAGGAGUAAAAGCGCUUUCUUUUCUUCCGCCUUCCCUUUCUUCUCCCUCUCUUCUUUCCUUUUCCUCUCCUCCUUUGUAGAAUUAAGACCUGCAGGCACAGGGUGCUCAAAAGGCAACUUAGGCGUCCCCCUAGGUAACAUUAAAGAUUAGAGAAAUUUACUUCCCCUCAACAUACAGACAAAUUCUGUCUUCCAAACUGCGCCCUAAAGUUUGGGGGGAAGUCUAGGUGUCUUCAAUGCCCAACUUAAAAGUCCCCAGAGCCAUUAGGUUGUUUUUCCUGACACCUCAUAAAGGAUAGUUUAGGGAAGAAAUUGGUCGUUUGUCAGUAGGAGAUUUCCGCCUUUCUUUUGUUAGCUGCUCUUUCUGUUUGAUCCCAGGAAAUUUACAUAAUCUAUGAUUUCCAAAACAGUUCCCAAUAUUGCACCAACAGUGAAGUAAGGUGAAAUAAAAUUUUCCUGGGUACAAUUCCAACUUGGCCUCAGCCACCACCCCCUCUGGCCCAAACCCUCACAUUCUUCAGUGGCAAAGUGACUGGGGAUGCUGUGGCCUGUGCAGGGGUCUUUCUCUGGAUGAGUACCCACCAGAGACCUAGCAGAUUCCCCCCACUCAGUCUGAAGAAAUAAGCCAAAUUCUCCAGCUCAGAAGUGAAAUUUAAAAAUAGGACCUCUGUCUCCAAAUGCUUUUCUCCUUAGGAGCUGGAUACUUUUCUGCAAGUGCUAAUUGGUAAUGAUAUUUGUUAAUGGCUUAAAGUGAAAAAAAAUUAAGGUAUAGUUUGGGAAUUUCAACAAACUUUAUUGUGCAGAGGCCACUUAAACUCAGCAUAAGUCCCACAGUUGUGUCCCCAAAGUCAGAGGUCCAAAAAACAAAACUAGGAAGUUUUUUU